CAUGAUGUCAUCAUCAACAACAAGAGCAUGAACAGAAGAAGGUCCGGCUGAGAGUGUCACUGACCCGCGGACAGGUUUUGGAUGACGACAGCAGCAGCGGUGUGGAAGAUGAUGUCAGCGCCAUCAUUGAGAGAGAUUCACACAGCUGUUCACUGUGACGGAGGACUGACGGAGGACUUAUGGAGGAGGCUCAUACUGACCUCCACCACCUUCUUCUUCUUGGUUACAUUGUUCUUCAGCAGUUUGUCCGGCAGCGGAGCAGCUCGACUCACAGGAGGCCUGAGCAGGAAACACGUUCAGGAGCAUCUCAGAUGCCGACUCUCUUACUGGUCAGGACGUUGUAGAUGUCCACAAAGGAAUCAUGGGACGCCACAGCCAGGUACCUUGGGAAAAGCGGAUGUCUGAGAUGAGCUCCCUGCGGUGGUGGAAGGUCACCAUGUCCUCCAGUGUGUCGGCGUUCACCACCAGGAAGCUGCCGUCAUUCAGACCAACCGCCAGAGCUUUACCGUCAGGAGAGAAGGCACAGCACCGCCCACCUGCCCGCAGUUUGCGGACAGCGACCAUGCGGUGAUUGGCUGACAGUUCCCAGAUCCUCAGAGUUUUGUCGUCACUGACGGUGGCGCAGACAGGAAGUAGAGGGUGAGCCGCCAAACCCCACACCUCCCCCUCCAUGUGACCCUGGACACAACACACCGGUUUAAUACAGCAGGAAACAGAGAUGUGACCGUGACCCAGUGUGAUGGCUCUGAUGGAUGGGUUGUCCUCCAGCAGCAGACCUGAGUCAGAGAGAGACUUCAGAGGAUGUAAUAAAUUCACUGAGCAGAGAAAACUGACCCCACAGCUGUGAGAAUGGAGUCUCCAGUCUGAUUCCCUGCAGGUCACCACUCAUUACAGAUCCUGCAGCAGCUCAAACACAGAGAACUCUUCUGCAGAGGCAGCACGACGACUCAAAGGAGGGAAA